CCCUACGGGAGGCAGCAGUGGGGAAUAUUGGACAAUGGGCGAAAGCCUGAUCCAGCAAUGCCGCGUGAGUGAAGAAGGCCUUAGGGUUGUAAAACUCUUUCGCCGGUGAAGAUGAUGACUGUAGCCGGUAAAGAAGCCCCGGCUAACUCCGUGCCAGCAGCCGCGGUAAUACGGAGGGGGCUAGCGUUGUUCGGAUUUACUGGGCGUAAAGCGCGCGUAGGCGGUAUAUCAAGUUAGGCGUGAAAGCCCCGGGCUCAACCCGGGAACUGCGCUUAUUACUGAUAAACUAGAGUCCGGGAGAGGGUGGCGGAAUUCCCAGUGUAGAGGUGAAAUUCGUAGAUAUUGGGAAGAACACCAGUUGCGAAGGCGGCCACCUGGACCGGUACUGACGCUGAGGUGCGAAAGCGUGGGGAGCAAACAGGAUUAGGUACCCUGGUAGUCCACGCCGUAAACGAUGGGUGCUAGUUGUUGGGGCCUCAGGUCUCAGUGACGGAGCUAACGCGUUAAGCACUCCGCCUGGGGAGUACGGCCGCAAGGCUAAAACUCAAAGGAAUUGACGG
rnacentral:rRNA from 1 species